rnacentral:rRNA from 1 species
GAUUAUGGCUCAGGAUGAACGCUAGCUACAGGCUUAACACAUGCAAGUCGAGGGGCAUCAUGGAGUUGCUUGCAAACUCUGAUGGCGACCGGCGCACGGGUGAGUAACGCGUAUCCAACCUUCCCUAUAGUAGAGGAUAGCCCGGCGAAAGUCGGAUUAAUACUCUAUGUUUUCCGUUGCAGACAUCUAAGAUGGAACAAAGGCUUGCCGCUAUAGGAUGGGGAUGCGUCUGAUUAGGUAGUCGGCGGGGUAACGGCCCACCGAGCCAUCGAUCAGUAGGGGUUCUGAGAGGAAGGUCCCCCACAUUGGAACUGAGACACGGUCCAAACUCCUACGGGAGGCAGCAGUGAGGAAUAUUGGUCAAUGGGCGAGAGCCUGAACCAGCCAAGUAGCGUGCAGGAUGACGGCCCUAUGGGUUGUAAACUGCUUUUAUGCGGGGAUAAAGUUCGCUACGUGUAGUGUUUUGUAGGUACCGCAUGAAUAAGGACCGGCUAAUUCCGUGCCAGCCGCUGC